CUACAGGGGUAGGAGUGAAAUCUUGUAAUCCCUGUGGGACCACCAGUGGCGAAGGCGUCUUACCAGAACGGGUCCGACGGUGAGGGACGAAAGCUGGGGGCACGAACCGGAUUAGAUACCCGGGUAGUCCCAGCCGUAAACGAUGCUCGCUAGGUGUCUGGAAUGGUGCGACCGUUUCAGGUGCCGCAGGGAAGCCGUGAAGCGAGCCACCUGGGAAGUACGGCCGCAAGGCUGAAACUUAAAGGAAUUGGCGGGGGAGCACUACAACGGGUGGAGCCUGCGGUUUAAUUGGACUCAACGCCGGACAACUCACCGGGGGCGACAGCAAUAUGUAGGUCAAGCUAAAGACUUUACCUGAAUCGCUGAGAGGAGGUGCAUGGCCGUCGUCAGUUCGUACUGUGAAGCAUCCUGUUAAGUCAGGCAACGAGCGAGACCCGUGCCCACUGUUGCCAGCAUAUCCUUUGGGAUGAUGGGUACUCUGUGGGGACCGCCGAUGCUAAAUCGGAGGAAGGUGCGGGCUACGGUAGGUCAGUAUGCCCCGAAUCUCCCGGGCGACACGGGGGCUACAAUGGUUGGGACAAUGGGCUCCUACACUGAAAAGUGACGGUAAUCUCAUAAACCCAGCCGUAGUUCGAAUUGAGGGCUGAAACCCGCCCUCAUGAAGCUGGAAUCCGUAGUAAUCGCGUUUCAAUAUGCGCGGUG
rnacentral:rRNA from 1 species